rnacentral:rRNA from 1 species
CGCCAUCAGUACAGAUCGUACACUGACGACAUGGUUCUACAAAACUACGAUUAGAUACCCUAUUAUUUUUUAUUUAAAUUUUAUUAACUAUGGUAGUAAUAGAUUGUUCUUGAAACUUAUAGAAUUUGGCGGUGUUUUAAUUCUUUUUAGAGGAAUCUGUUCCGUUAUCGAUAUUCCACGAUGGACCUUACUUAUUAUAAAUUUGGUUUGUAUACCGCCGUUGUUGAAUAUUUUUUUAGGAAUUAAAUUUUCUUAAUUUUUUAUUAAAAUGUAUUUCAGGUCAAGGUGCAGCUUAUUAAUUAAGUGGAAAUGGAUUACAAUUUUUUUUAAUAUACGGAUAUUGUGAAUGUAAUUUAUUUUGGAAGGUGGAUUUAAUAGUAAUUUUAUUUAGAUUAUUAAAAUGAAAUAGGCUCUAGAAUAUGUACACAUCGCCCGUCGCUCUUAGACCAAGUCUCUGCUACCGUAACGAUCUGUACUGAGCGGGCUGG